rnacentral:rRNA from 1 species
AUUGAACGCUGACGGCAGGCCUAACACAUGCAAGUCGAACGAGUGGCGUACGGGUGAGUAAUGUCUGAGAAACUGCCUGAAGGUGGGGGAUAACUACUGGCAACGGUAGCUAAUACCGCAUACCAUCAACUGUGCCCAGAUGGGAUUAGCUAGUUGGUGGGGUAACGGCUCACCACGGCGACUAUCCCUAGCUGGUAUGCGAGGAUGACCAGACACAAGUGAAGUUGGACACGGUCCAGAUGCCGACGGGAGGCAGCAGUGGGGAAUAUUGCACAAUGGGCGCAAGCCUGAUGCAGCCAUGCCGCGUGUAUGAAGAAGGCCGUCGGGUUGUAAAGUACGGUCAGCGGGGAGGCGUUACCCGCAGAAGAAGGACCGGCGAACUCCGGGCCAGCAGCCGCGGUAAUAC